AGUGAACGCUGGCGGUAGGCCUAACACAUGCAAGUCGAACGGCAGCACAGUAAGAGCUUGCUCUUACGGGUGGCGAGUGGCGGACGGGUGAGGAAUAUAACGGAAUCUACUUUUUCGUGGGGGAUCACGUAGGGAAACUUACGCUCAUAUCGCAUACGCCCUACGGGUGAAAGCAGGGGAUCUUCGGACCUUGCGCGGUUGAAUGAGCCGAUGUUGGAUUAGCUAGUUGGCGGGGUAAAGGCCCACCAUGGCGCCGAUCCGUAGCUGGACUGAGUGGAGGGUCGGCCACACUAGAGCUGAGACACGGUCCAGAGUCCUGCGGGAGGCAGCAGUGUGGAAUAUUGGACAAUGGGCGCAAGCCUGGUCCAGCCAUACCGCGUGGGUUGAGGAAGCCUUGGGGUUGUAAAGCCCUUUUGUUGGGAAAGAAAAGCAUCAGCUUAAUACCCCGCUGUUCUGACGGUACCCAGAAAAGAAGCACCGGCUAACUUCGUG
rnacentral:rRNA from 1 species